AUGACGUUCUCAAAAUUUCUUUUUACAGAACUUUAUUACCAGUUCUCAGCUGCUGAAAAUGUUAAAAAUGAUCCAGGGCUUAAAGAGAUGGUGGCAACCAUGGGCAUGUCCAACCGAGAAAUGAAAACAACUGUGUCCCUGAUGACAUCAUUGAAUGAAAUGAUGCAAAAAACAAUGUCUUGGUUCAUAAGACUUCGAAAGAGCCAUUAUAUGAUGGUAUAAAUUUCUUUUUUUUUCUGCUUAAGCCAGUUUUAUUCCAGCCUUUGUUAUUUUUGCAGCCAGAGCAUCCCUCUAAAAUAAAUCUACCAUUAAAAUAAUGUAGAAAUGGCACCUGAAGAGGAAGAAACAGAAUAAAAAAUACAGAAAUCCCCCGUUUCAAAGGAGUAGAGAAAAUACAAUCAUUUCAGUUAAUAGUAUUGAGACAAAUUGCCUAGAUUGUUGGACUCAUGUCAUAUUUCCACCUUUUUAUUUAUACCAAGAUAAAUUCUAGAUAUGUCAAAUAUUAAAAGGAAAAUAAAAUUAAACCAUAAAAGUAUUAGUAAAAUUCUCAUCGCUGUUGGUGGAAAUGUAGACUUGUACAAUUGGUUAGCAGUCUAUUAAAAAGUUAACUUAAAAGUUUUAAAAAAACUUAUUUCACUAACGGCUACCUGAAAUAAGUGGAAGCCUACAUCCAUGCAAAGACAUGUGUACUCGUAACAGCUACAUUAAAAAUAGCUAUGAAGUAGAAACAUCCCAAAUAUUAAUCAGUAGCUAAAUGGAUAAACAAAUGUGGUAUUCAUAUACCAGACUGAAAAGUACUCAACAAUACAAAGGAAUAAACUAUGGAUAAUACAACAAUUUGGAAAAGUCUCAAAAUCCUGUUGCUAUCAGAAUUCAGCACAAACGAAUGCAAACUAUAUGAUUUCAUUUAUAUAAAUUCUGGAAAAUGCAAACUAAAUUUAGUGACAAAAAGCAGACCAGUAGUUUCUUGGUAUGGGGGAUAAGAAAGGAUAGACUUAAAAGAGCACAAAGUAUCUGUAAGGAAUGAUGACAAUGUUAUGUACCUUUGUUGUGGGAGUUGUUUCAUCGGUGUACAAAAUGAUCAAAACUCAUAAAAUGCACAAUUAAAAUAAAUGCAGUUUUCUGUAUAUAAAGUAAACUUCAAUGAAUUUAAUAAACAUAUUGUCUGAGGAUAUGAGGAUUUUAAACCACGCUAGGAGAGAAUAUGGGAAAUACUUUUUUUUUCUUUUUUUGAGACAGAGUCUUGCUCUGUCACCAGGCACCAGGCUGGAGUGCAGUGGCACAAUCUCGGCUCACUGCAAUCUCUGCCUCCUGGGUUCAAGCAAUUCUCCUGCCUCAGUCUCCUGAGUAGCUGGGACUACAGGUGCAUGCGUCCAUGCCCAGCUAAUUUUUGUAUUUUUUAGUAGAGAUAGGGUUUCACCAUGUUGCCCAGGAUGGUCUUGAUCUCUUGACCUCAUGAUCCGCCUGUCUUGGCCUCCUAAAAUGCUGGGUUUACAGGCCCGUACCCGACCGGGAAAUACUUAUUACAGUCUUUAAGUGGGGAAAGCCCAGAAUCCAUAAUGAAAAGAAGUUAACAAUUAAACUACAUACAUAAAAUUGUAUGGCAAAAACAUCACAAAGUCAAAAUACAACAGAGUAGGAAAAAAUUGGAAACACUAUAAAUACAUGAAGAGCUGAUUUCUAUAACAUAUAAAAUCACUUCAAGCAAGGAGAAAGAAGUAAACAAAGGAAAGCAGUUAACAGAAACAAAAUUACAAAUAGUUAAUAGACAUGAAAAUGUUUAAUGUGUUGCAGCAAUAAAUGAAACUAAAACAAGGGUUUGUUUUCAUCUAUCAGUAAACAAUUUUAAAAGAGCACAGUCUUACAAGUAUGCUGAUUAUAAUAAAAAUAGAAGUCCACUUACCCUUAUUUUAACUGGUUUCUGUAGUAAGUUCCUUGCUUUUUUACUCCUUUAAUUUUUUUAGUCAAAUUUUCUAGUUUAGAUUACAAGAUCUUUAUGCCAGUCUUUCAAAAAGCCCCCCCUUUUGUCAUAUUUACACAUCUCCAAGAAAUUGGACACAAAGAUUAAAGACAGAUGGAUUACUUUUAAUUCUUUUAAAAGAAGAACUUGCAUAUGUCCAGGCACCAUUAGAACAUUCACAUACUCAUUUGAUCAAACAUGUAAUAAUUAAAUUUCAAGGCUGUGUCCUAUAUGUCAGGCAGUAUGCUAAAUGUUGUGUGCACAACGGUUAAUACGGUAGACAGGACUUGUGCACUCAUGGAGCGUAUGGUCUCCUGAGAGAGACUUCUGUUAAGUAACUGGAGAGACACAUAUAUCAAUUACAAAUCAGGAUGACCUAAUUCAGAUUGACAGUUCAGGGAACAUUGCUCUGAUGGCGUCUUUCUGCUGAGGAUAGAGGAAGAGUAGGAAUUGUCCAAGCUAAGAAUGUGGAGGUGAGCAUUUGAGCAUUUCAGGCAAAAAAAAAAAAAAAAAAAAAGUUUGAAGCUAGAAAGAGCUUGAUGUCCAGGAAAAUCUAAAAGGCAAAAAGCUGUGGUGUAGCGAGCAGAGAGGCAGAGGGUCUAUAGUGGCAAGGCUGCAGGGAAGCAGGGGUCAGAUCAUAAAGAAGCUGGAAAGCCAGGUUAAGGAGUUUACAUUGUAUUUUGUGUUCAACAGAGUGCCCCUGACUGGUUACAGGUGUGAGUAAAAUGAUUAGAAUCAUAUUUUAGAAAAAUCAGCUUGGCUUCAGGGUGAAAAACAAAUUAUGGUAAGCAGGGGUGGAAGCAGGGAUCUGGUCAGGGGCAUGUUGCAGUAGUACAGAUGAGAGUCUUAAUUGACAUUAUCUUUAUAGGGGCAAUCUCUGUGCCUAACCCAUGAUAGUGAAAUUCAAUAAAAUUAAUUGAAAUGAAAGAUUGGUGAAUUAAUAAAGGUAUAAAUUUUGCUGGCCUGAAAUUCUAUUGAGACAUUUUCAUGAAUUCACUGUGUAAAACAGUCUUAGAAUCAUAUAACUUUAAUUUAAAUUAGCAGUUUGACCCAUCAGCAUACCAAAAUAAACUGAAUCAUCUAAUGUCCUAGAGAAGUGAUUCUCAAAACUUUGUGCUUUAUUCAUUAUUAAUUAUUCUAUUAUAUAUGAUGAAUCCUAUAGAUACUAAAAGUCACAUUUUAUAUAAAACUAGUAUAAACAUUUGACUUUCUUAUUAUUUAUGAUGAAUUUAAAAGUAUAGAAAUUAAUAUUUUUGGUGUGGAGUAGUUCUAUUGUUCCAUCUUUAAAAUACAAAUUAAAAUAAUACCAUUAGUGGUUUAAAAAUGGUGAUAAGAGUGUUGGGGAGUAACUCCAUAAUUAUUAUUGGAGCUCCAUUAAUGUUGAAAAAUAACUCUAUUAUUAGCUAAAUUCCUAAAAGCUCUAGUGAUUGCAAAAGCACACAUUUUUCUGAAAAUUACUUUGGUCUCAUUGUACACAAACAUAAGCGAUAUGGGAAAAGAAAAGGCCACAUGUAGUCCUUGAUAGGUGGAGUAAUCAGCGAGUGCCACAUGAGAAGUACUGAUUUGUGAAAAAUAAGAAAAACAUCCCAUGUGCAGAGCUCUAUAAAAAAAAGGCAGGUGCUAAAUUUCUGGCUGGUAGGAACAGCUACAACUAGUACUUAUGACUUUCAGACAGACAGCUUAGGGGUUAAGAUACAACAUUUUUUUAUUUUUAGAAAUUUUGUGGAAACAACGAGGUUUUCUAAACUAUGAGUCUCUAUCUCACUGGUCAUCUAAAUCCCAUUAGUUAAAAUCAGAAUCCAAACAAUAUUAUAUGUUCAUGGUUAACCUCUUCUUUAGUGUUCUUUCUCUACAGCCCAGAGGCUAAUGUUUUCAAGCAAGCACUAGAUGCAAUUUCCCUUGUAGUUAAGCCAUGAAAGCCAAUAAAUUGUUAGG
ensembl:lncRNA